GCUGCUCUGUCUAUGGAGUAGCCAUUCUUUUAUUCGAAUACUUUACUCUCCUAACAAACUUGCUUUCAUUUUACUCUACAGACUCACCCUGAAUUCUUUCUUGCACUUGCUCUAAGAACCCUCUCUUGGGGUCUGGAUCCGGACCGCUUUCUGCUAACACUUCUACAUACCACGUUUAUUUGAGACAGAAAAAUACAGCAAGGACAUCCAUCUAAACUUUGUCUGGAGUCUGGGCCCAGGGGAGCUGCAGUACAUGGAGGGUCUCUGGAAGUGGGUAUGGCAGAUUAGCGCCUAAGCUCAACUGGCUUUCCUCCUCUGCCUCUGUUCCUGGGACUUGCUCACGGCUCACAAGGUAGCUUCCCACUGUCAGUCCAUCAGCAACAGCCAGUUAGAGUCGAUUGGGUGUGAGAAGCGAGACUAUUCAUAAGCAGCCUGUCCCCUGUGCCACUGGCUUAUUAAGCAGAGCUAGGCAUAGACAGCUGGGAACUCUGGGCAGCUCCUUUAAAUUUCUCUUUGAAGAAUGUUAAGUAUUCACCAGCAGUGAAGGUUACAAAGGCUGAAGUUUUCUCUCCACCCCCAGCAUUUCCCAGGGGAGUAAAAGGAAGGAUCAAAGCUACAAUGGGCUUGGCUGCCCUUCUCCAGGAAUGGCCAGAGGACAACUUCUGCUUGGAAAGUUCCUGGAUACUUCUGGAACAGAAUUCUCCUGGGGUGAGUGGUUCACACAACUGACCCACUUCAUCCCCACUCAGCAAAAUGAGAGCGCCGUUGACUGACAACAAAAUGCUGAACUGGAAACCUCCGCAGUAAAACGUGAUGCAGAACAGAGAAAGAACUAAGAUGUUCUGCACAGACGGUAUCAUGCCCUCUAUGAGGAAACUACUCGAGCAUAUCUGUGUUUCAAAUGAUGUCUUUGAACUAUUUAUGUUAAAUGCCCCCCCAAAAAAAUGGAAAGGCUUCUUCGUAGAGGAAAGAGCUUGAAGUUGCUAGGCUGUUCUGCCUUCAACAGGCAUUUAUUGUGCAGCUACAAAAUGCUGCACCAAGCACUGGGCAGUGGAAAGGUGAUUCAGACACAGUUCCUUUGACAAAACCUCAAAAUCCCAUGUGAAGUUCUCUUUUAUAAAGUAAAUCAGAAAAGAUUCAAAAGUUGAGGUACCAAAAAAAAAUAAUAUAAAUGCAAGUAGUAAAGCGCUAUUGACUGUAAAUAGAAGCACUUAAUAAGUGGUUGUUGUUUCUGUUCUUCUCUCUAAUAAGUGUAUACAGGUGGCUAAAUGCUUUUGUUGAGCUAUGAGUACCUCAUUCUGUGGAGUGACUCAGAAAGUCUCUAGGUGUUAGACUGGAAACAGGUGAUGUUCAGUGCACGCAAUGCUUGAAGUGUUCCCAGGUAUUUAGUUUCAGGUAAAUUUUACUGUUUAAAAAAAUUGUUUUUACUUGCUAUUAAGUGUGUUGACCUUGGAUAAUUUACUUAACCUCUCUAUGCCUUGCUUCCUUUUCUGCAAAAUGAGAGUAAGAAAAGUGCUUACCUCAUUGGCUUUUUGUGAAAUUCAAUGAGUUAACACGUGGGAGAAAAGAUGUUUUUAAAUAAUCAAUUCUUAGCAGUUGGUCAUUGUUAUGAGUUACAUCAUGCGUAGUUAAAUAUUUUUUAAAAAAUUAAAAUUUAUUUUCCUAUAGGAAAAAGGAGGGACUGAAUUGUGAAUCCAUUUUCUCUGCUUUCAGUUAUUUCUACUCCUGAGAAAAACCCUAAGCACUUAGGGUCUAGAACCACAUCCCGAGACGGUGAGCUCUUCCCACAUUUUCACAUGUGCCUGAAUCAUUUGUAGGUCUCGUUCAAGCAGAGAAUCUCCGGGAUUCUCACUCGGGAGGUCUGGGGUCGGGCCUGAGUCCUUGCAUUUCUAACAAACUCCCAGUUGAUGCUGGUGCCACUGGUUCUGAAUUAAGAUGCUUGUUUACCUAGUGACAGCAACAAAAAUUGUAGCAAUGGUAUCCAGAAAUAAACAGCAUACUUUUAUAGGGCUAGUCAAAUGAACCCAAACAUACAAAAUAAAGGCAAACCUCACAAUCUUCUUGCAAUGAUUUAUUACUCUGAGAGCUCAUUUUAGGUGAGAUUGUCUCCCUCCGGAGCCUGAUUCCUAAAAGCUUUCUAUGACUUUGAAAUUAUCGUUUUCCUUUUGGAGGUAGCACAAUAUAAGAGCUAAGAAGAGAAUGAGAACUGGAGUCCCUCCCAGGUUUGCCCCUCUAGGUAUGUAAGCUAAGGUAAACUACUUAGCCUUUCUUAAGCCUCAGUUUUCUCAUUACAAAUGGGCAUAUACGGAACAUUGGCUUGCCUCCUACAGUUGUUUGAGGAC
rnacentral:lncRNA from 1 species